AGAGUUUGAUCCUGGCUCAGGACGAACGCUGGCGGCGUGCCUAAUACAUGCAAGUCGAGCGAAUCUUUAGGAGCGCAGCUCUUAAGGUUAGCGGCGGACGGGUGAGUAACACGUGGGCAACCUGCCUGUAAGACUGGGAUAACACCGGGAAACCGGUGCUAAUACCGGAUAAUCCUUCUCCUCACAUGAGGGGGAGCUGA
rnacentral:rRNA from 1 species